CGGUGGCUGACUGCUUGGGGGCAGGGGAGGCUCACUAAAGAAGACACCUUAACCAGUCUUGAAAGAUAAGCAGGAGUACCCAAGGGAGAUGGCAGCUAUAGAGAAAGAGAACAGCAGACGCAAAAGAUCAGACCGGAAUAACACAUCUGGGGAAGGGUGUCUGGGGUGUGUUCAAGGUGAGGAGUGUGGCAGAUGUGGCUGGGGGGCGGACUGUGGAAAGAGGGUCUUGUGUGAGAGAGAACAGAGAAACACCCACUCACCAGUCCAUUGGCCUAUCUCUGCCCUGCCUCGCCUAGGAGGAGGCAACGUCAAGGCCACAGGGAGGAAGUACAGCGCUACGGAAAAUAAGGGCUGUGCCGAGCAUUCAGCAAGCCGUACCGCGUGAUGCACCAGCCUGGUGUCUGGGACAUCAAGUGCUCAACACGUAGGGGCUGUGAAGAUGAGGACACUGAUAAAGAUAUCCCCCGGUUUCGAAGGGCCUCUGGACGUUAUGAGUCCAGCUACCGGAGGAAAACGAAUACCGACCACCAUGCCAUGGGACCCACUUUGGGAAUUGCUGGUCAGAGUUACUUCUCUCAUGAACAGAUAAGGAAGCUAAAGGCUUAGAAAGGAUGUGGGCCCUUGCUCAAGGUCACGUGGCAAAUUCCCGGCAGAGACAGGGCUGGAAGCCAGACCCCCUCCUGACGGUAAUGCUCUCUCCACUCACUCAGCAGGAAGUCGCCCCUGACCACCGACCACGGUGAGUUCUCUGUCCAGACGCUGCCUCCCAGACAGGCCGCCCACCCCCUCCUCCCUUCUCCAUCCUCUGGAGGAGCGCAGGGAGCACAGCUGCGUGUUCUCCGUCUCCCACGCCAAGCAGAGUCAGGAAGGCAAGCCCUCUGCUGGGAAGAGCCACAUACGAGAAAGAGACUGGGGACUACGGACACAUGCAAACAGCUGACUUGCUACAAGCAGUGGGAGGAAAGGUGCUGUUAUCUAUUUUUUCCUGUUCCUGCUGUGUUCAUGCUGCUUGUACAGUAACAGCCUGGAAAGAAAGAACGUGCCAUAAUGCGUUUGAAAGUCGAAAGAUUUGUUUAAAAAUGUGCGUUUGGGAUUCCUGGAGGCGUGUAUCUGCUUGAUAUGGGGGGACAGGAGGGCUGGCAGCACUGUCAUCAGCCUCUCCCUGACUCUGUCUCCGUUUCCUGAGAUCACAGGGCAGCAGGAUGAGGUGGAGCACGGGCCUGGGGGUCACUGACCCCUUCAGAGGAGCACGGUCCUACACUGCCGUGUCAGUGCAAGGUCACUCCAAAGAGAACAGACCUUUUUAGGACACAGAGCAUUCAAGCCCCCGAACUUAUCCUCCUCCUUACCUCCCAUCUUCUUUUUUU